rnacentral:snRNA from 1 species
AUACUAACCGGACGGGGUCAAUGGGCGAUCAAGAAGGCCCAUUGCCUAGGUGGGUGACUUCCAUUGCACUUUGGAGGGGCGCCUGCCUAAGGCCAACCCAAGUGGUUGAGCCUACGUUUAAUUUUUGGCAGUGGGGGCCUGUGUUAGCACGGCCCCUAU